rnacentral:rRNA from 1 species
GACAGAGGGUGCAAACGUUGCUCGGAAUCACUGGGCGUAAAGGGCGUGCAGGCGGUCUGUUAAGUCUGGCGUGAAAGCUCGCGGCUAAACCGCGAGAGGUCGUUGGAUACUGACGGACUAGAGGACGGUAGAGGCGUGUGGAAUUCCGGGUGUAGUGGUGAAAUGCGUAGAGAUCCGGAGGAACACCAGUGGCGAAGGCGACACGCUGGGCCGUACCUGACGCUAAAACGCGACAGCAUGGGGAGCGAACGGG